GGGAGGCGAGGCGAGCAGAGGAGAGGAGGAGCGCAGCGAUUUGGGGGAGGGGAGGGGAAGGCCUUUAGUUCUUUGGUCUCUCUGGAGGUGAGGGGGCGCGGUGAGGCUAGGGGAGGCGGGGGCGGGAGAGGCGGCAGAGUAAGGGAGAGGCGAGGGGGGGCCCCUAGCGUCACCGUGGGCGCCGAGGUCGUUCGUUUCAACCUCAUCUCUGGCGGUCGUGCUCGCUAGCGAGAAACUAAAUACAGCGGACGAGAUGACGAGGUACCAAGACUCGAGGGUAGUGGUAGUGGAGGAAGGCGAAAAACAACGGAAGAGGGGGUUCGAGCCGUCUCCCCGCGGUCUUGAGUUCUAAUAGCGAAGUUCUAGAGGGCUAAACCUAAACCCCACUUCAUGAGACCUAAAGACGUAAAUCUGGUCACGGGGCACGUGCGCUUCAUUGUUGUAUGUUCUUAGGGGGUUUAGUUCUAUUCGAACCAAACCAAACCCACCUAAAUUCAAGUCGUGAGGAAGUAAAAGUAACUGUGUAAGGAGGUCAAGUAUUUGUUGGUCGGUCUUUCGUCUAAAGAAAACACUCAGAAGUGUUUUUCUCUUAUUGAGGCAGAAGAGAGGUCAAAAUUAGUCUUCAAACUCUGUUGAGACGAAGACUAAAGCCUCUAACACGCGAGUCCGAGAUUGAUUUUGUCCUCGAACAGGACCCAAAAUUCUAAAGUCAGCCAACAUCAGUGCCAAUUAUUAAGUUAUUAGAGACCUAGAAUGAAUUCUAGUUCCCCGAACAACGUGUUUCUCUACUACAACGGAAGAAGCUCCUUCCAAGCGUAAAGGACGACACUAGGACUGCGGUGGCUAAGAAGACUACUUCUACUAGCCGUACGUUUCUUCCUUUUCUCUUACUGUUACCUUCAUGAUCAAGGUUACUUUUGGAGACCUGGGGAGUUCAGAGCUUUCUGGGAACACGGUACACCGUGUUUCUUUAGUUAACCAUGUCUCUUCUUCGUUGGUUGGUCGUUCAUGGGACCACACGCGGACGCCAGUACCCCAUUCACCCGACGUCUCUAUGCACUAGGGCACUCGUUCUGGGCCUUUACCUAACCGUGUAAAUGGAGGCUCCUCCGGCGACGACGUCGUAUACACCGUCUUGCCUUGGCCCAUGCGUGACUCUACAACCGGUAGUUUAGAGCCAGUGGAGGUAGUCUAGUACUUCGAAACAGGUCGCUUCGAUGACAUAGGACACACAGAAGUAGACACAGCAAGCCGCUGGUCUUUCGUGUUCUCCAUGUGUUCAAUCGCAGUUACCUCUAUCUGGGACUGUGACGACUACUCUCGAAUGACGUGACGAGUGGCCUUGGCGAUCCAUUUCUUUAGGUCCAUCUACGUAAGGAACCGGCCUACUUACAACUACUUUCGAACCACGUGACGAGUAGCUGUGGAUCGCUACUUCUUUAAGGUCACCUACGUAAGACGUCGGUCUACUUACUCGAAGGAGGAUAGUCACUGAUACAAACGUGUUGACUGUUUGAGAGUGACCUACUAUAAAGUUCCGACCGUCUAUACAAAGGACAGUUACUGAAACAGCUGUGUUGUCCACUCGGCGGACCACUGCUGAUGUAGCCCGACCGUCUGUAGUCGGUAGAUGGCUACGGUUACAAGCUCAACCUACGUGUUGAAUUAACCCUUCCAAAGCUGAAACGAAGCUACCUUGCACUUGAUCUCUUUGAAACUCCGGAGUUGUGGUAACUCCAAAAGCAGAAAGACUCUCUACAGUCCCACUCAAACACUAGUCCUCUACACAAGUAGAGGUUAAAAACAGCCUUUAACAUGUCAGAAGGGGGGAUCUAAUUAGACCAACUCGGAAUAUACAUGGCACAUUAUACAUGUACUAGUAGAUUAAACUUAGACGAUACUUCAAGUAUUACCUUCGAGGUAGAAGAUAAAAAGU
rnacentral:rRNA from 1 species